AGUGUCGUACAUGUAUGGGAUGUGUUUAAGCAGCGCGCUAUAGAUUCUACAGACAGUCGAGCCAGGUCCGUUUUUGAGGUCGGGUAGUUCGGAUGUUUUCCCACGUUUGCAAUAAUAUAAUUCGUUAAAUUGCUGUGAGUUUAAUCAAAUUAGACCAUUAGAGUGUUAACUGCACGCGACCCUGGUGCGUUAUAGUUUCAUUUUGCUCAACGACUAAACGCAAUUCGAAAACAUGUUUAUUCACAAAUACUAAUAAACACACGAAGCCAUGAAAGAUUGAAUAAAUAAAAAUAUUAUGUGCGAGGUGAUAUGAACAGAAGACCACUACAUUUUAGAAGAAACUCGAUCGAAUUCCAGGCGACAAACACCCAAAAUUUACAAACAUCGAUGAAACGGGAUAUUGAACCCACGAAUUGAAUUAUUUAAUUGUAUCUGCUUUAACAGUGUGUUACCUGGGCCAGUGUGUUUGGCCCAGGUAAUUGUUGCAACAGAAAAUAUAUCAAUUAAAAUAUUUCGCACAAUGCUAAUCUUUAAUAGGAAUGUUUUGUCUCGAGCCAAUAGAAUUUGAGGAGUUUUGCACAUAAAUCCGACAUCGUAACGGAACCAGGCCUACAUCAGAUUGCAAGUAUUAAAUUUCUUAAUCUUUUGCAUAAAUAACUUCAGUGAUUAACUCAUUAAUUAGCCACAAAAAAUGCAUUUUGGUGUUUCGAUGGACUUAUUUUUGUUUGUUUUAAAAGUUCUGCACCUUAAUCUGACGUCCUAGGAGAACCAUUUUUGCACCAGAUUAACUAUACCUAUAUCAGACUGGAAGCAUUCUUGCAUCAAAUUGGUUCUGCACCUUACCCCAACGUCCUAGGAGAACCAUUAUUGCAUCAGAUUGGAUUUUGCACCUGUGUCUGACAUCGUAGAUGGACCUUUCUUGCAUAAGAUUGGAUUUUGCACCUGAGUCUGAUAUCGUAGAAGGAUCAUUCUUGCAUCAGACUGGAUUUUGCACUAGAGUCUGACAUCGUAGAAGGACCAUUCUUGCAUCAGAUUAGAUUUUUCACCUGAGUCUGACAUCGUAGAAGGACCAUUCUUGCAUCAGAUUGGAUUUUGCACCUGAGUCUGACAUCGUAGAAGGACCAUUCUUGCAUCAGAUUGGAUUUUGCACCUGAGUCUGACAUCGUAGAAGGACCAUUCUUGCAUCAGAUUGGAUGUUGCACCUGAGUAUGACAUCGUAGAAGGACCAUUCUUGCAUCAGAUUGGAUUUUGCACCUGAGUCUGACAUCGUAGAAGGACCAUUCUUGCAUCAGAUUGGAUUUUGCACCUGAGUCUGACAUCGUAGAAGGACCAUUCUUGCAUCAGAUUGGAUUUUGCACCUGAGUCUGACAUCGUAGAAGGACCAUUCUUGCAUCAGAUUGGAUUUUGCACCUGAGUCUGACAUCGUAGAAGGACCAUUCUUGCAUCAGAUUGGAUUUUGCACCUGAGUCUGACAUCGUAGAAGGACCAUUCUUGCAUCAGAUUGUUAUUAUUAAAUUUCAUUAUCUUAAAUAACUUUUUUGAUUAUUACACAAAUUGACUCCCAAAAUGUAUGUUUGUGUGUUUUCUUUAAUAAAGAAUGUUUUUAAGUUUUUCUAAUUAAAA